rnacentral:lncRNA from 1 species
CGCUUCCGCCCGCGUCAGCUGACUCUGCCAGGCAGCGGCCCGGCCCGGCACCGAGCCCGCGGAGCCUCCGGCGCGGCCACCCGCAGCAUGGCAGGGGCCGUGGUGAGCGGAGCGCAGGUGUCCUACAUUAGUCAGGACUGUGAAGAAAUUCCAGAAUUCCUAGGAAGAAAAUAUGGACACAUGGCAAAAAGGCUAGAUCUUAGCUUCAACUUGCUAAGUUCUCAAAUCAUUCCUGUGCUGCCCGACUGCUACCUUGGAUGACCCAGUGAUGGACAGUUGUGUUGGCUUCCACUUUAUUUCCACAAAUUCUUCAGUUCUGUGUGACUGCAAAAAUCUUUCCUCUAUUUCCAGGUAUCUUAUUUCAUGUAA